GCUGGCGGCAGGCUUAACACAUGCAAGUCGAGCGGAGGAAGGUAGCUUGCUACUGGACUUAGCGGCGGACGGGUGAGUAAAGCUUAGGAAUCUGCCUAUUAGUGGGGGACAACAUUUCGAAAGGGAUGCUAAUACCGCAUACGUCCUACGGGAGAAAGCAGGGGAUCUUCGGACCUUGCGCUAAUAGAUGAGCCUAAGUCGGAUUAGCUAGUUGGUGGGGUAAAGGCCUACCAAGGCGACGAUCUGUAGCGGGUCUGAGAGGAUGAUCCGCCACACUGGGACUGAGACACGGCCCAGACUCCUACGGGAGGCAGCAGUGGGGAAUAUUGGACAAUGGGCGCAAGCCUGAUCCAGCCAUGCCGCGUGUGUGAAGAAGGCCUUAUGGUUGUAAAGCACUUUAAGCGAGGAGGAGGCUUACCUAGUUAAUACCUAGGAUAAGUGGACGUUACUCGCAGAAUAAGCACCGGCUAACUCUGUGCCAGCAGCCGCGGUAAUACAGAGGGUGCAAGCGUUAAUCGGAUUUACUGGGCGUAAAGCGCGCGUAGGCGGCCAAUUAAGUCAAAUGUGAAAUCCCCGAGCUUAACUUGGGAAUUGCAUUCGAUACUGGUUGGCUAGAGUGUGGGAGAGGAUGGUAGAAUUCCAGGUGUAGCGGUGAAAUGCGUAGAGAUCUGGAGGAAUACCGAUGGCGAAGGCAGCCAUCUGGCCUAACACUGACGCUGAGGUGCGAAAGCAUGGGGAGCAAACAGGAUUAGAUACCCUGGUAGUCCAUGCCGUAAACGAUGUCUACUAGCCGUUGGGGCCUUUGAGGCUUUAGUGGCGCAGCUAACGCGAUAAGUAGACCGCCUGGGGAGUACGGUCGCAAGACUAAAACUCAAAUGAAUUGACGGGGGCCCGCACAAGCGGUGGAGCAUGUGGUUUAAUUCGAUGCAACGCGAAGAACCUUACCUGGCCUUGACAUACUAAGAACUUUCUAGAGAUAGAUUGGUGCCUUCGGGAACUUAGAUACAGGUGCUGCAUGGCUGUCGUCA
rnacentral:rRNA from 1 species